AGAUACUUUUACUGAUUAUAGCUUGCCAAAGUUUGUCUGGUCUGCAGUUUCCCAACCAGCAGCGUCUAUCACAGUACAUCCUAACAGAGAGCAACACUUCACCUCUGAGGCUGUAAAACUGAACUGUGAAGGAAACUUUACUCAUUGGAGAGUGAGGAAGUUCACAGGAAAAGGCUACCUGGCUUAUAUAAAAAACUGUUCUGACUGGGAGAAAAUGUCUGGAUCUUCAUGUACCAUAAGGAGUACGUCACACAAUAAAGCUGUGUACUGGUGUGAGUCUGGAUCAGGAGAUUUCAGCAACACGGUCAACCUCACUAUAACUGAUACAAAUCUCGUUCUGGUGAGCCCUGUCCAUCCUGUGACUGAGGGGACUCCUGUUACUCUGGGCUGUCAACAGAGGCGACACAAUAUACCUUAUAAUGUGUCUUUCUAUUUUAAUGAAAACCUGCAGCCAACAGACAGCAGUGGCGAGCUGAAGAUUUCUGA